rnacentral:rRNA from 1 species
CGCAAGGUUAAAACUCAAAUGAAUUGACGGGGGCCCGCACAAGCGGUGGAGCAUGUGGUUUAAUUCGAUGCAACGCGAAGAACCUUACCUACUCUUGACAUCCUGCGAACUUGUGAGAGAUCACUUGGUGCCUUCGGGAGCGCAGAGACAGGUGCUGCAUGGCUGUCGUCAGCUCGUGUUGUGAAAUGUUGGGUUAAGUCCCGUAACGAGCGCAACCCUUGUCCUUAUUUGCCAGCGGGUAAUGCCGGGAACUCUAAGGAGACUGCCGGUGACAAACCGGAGGAAGGUGGGGACGACGUCAAGUCAUCAUGGCCCUUACGAGUAGGGCUACACACGUGCUACAAUGGCCGGUACAAAGGGUUGCGAGCUCGCGAGAGUCAGCUAAUCCCGAAAAGCCGGUCUCAGUCCGGAUCGGAGUCUGCAACUCGACUCCGUGAAGUCGGAAUCGCUAGUAAUCGUGAAUCAGAAUGUCACGGUGAAUACGUUCCCGGGCCUUGUACACACCGCCCG